UACGUAGGGUCCGAGCGUUGUCCGGAAUUACUGGGCGUAAAGAGCUCGUAGGUGGUUUGUCGCGUUGUUCGUGAAAACUCACAGCUCAACUGUGGGCGUGCGGGCGAUACGGGGCAGACUAGAGUACUGCAGGGAGACUGGAAUUCCUGGUGUAGCGGUGAAAUGCGCAGAUAUCAGGAGGAACACCGGUGGCGAAGGCGGGUCUCUGGGCCGAUACUGACGCUGAGGAGCGAAAGCGUGGGGAGCGAACAGG
rnacentral:rRNA from 1 species